rnacentral:rRNA from 1 species
UACGUAGGGAGCAAGCGUUGUCCGGAAUCAUUGGGCGUAAAGCGCGUGUAGGCGGCCCGAAGAGUCUGGUGUGAAAACUUGAGGCUCAACCUCAAGCUGUCGCUAGAUACUGUCGGGCUUGAAUCCGGAAGAGGAGUGUGGAAUUCCUGGUGUAGCGGUGGAGUGCGCAGAUAUCAGGAGGAACACCAAUGGCGAAGGCAGCACUCUGGUACGUGAUUGACGCUGAGACGCGAAAGCGUGGGGAGCAAACAGG